GAAAUCCUGGAGCUCAUCCCAAAACAUUCAUGGAGUCUCCAAACCCAAAACCUCCUGUGGGGGAUCCUGGACCUUAUCCCAAAACAUUCAUGGAGUCUCCAAACCCAAAACCAUCUCUGGUGGGUUCUUGAUUCUGUUCCCAAAGAUUUCUGGUGCCAACAAUCCCAAAUCCAUCUGUGGUGGAUCCUGGAGCUCAUCCCAAAUUAUUUCUGGAGUCUCCAAAUCCAGAGAUUGUGGAUCCUUAACCUUGUCCCUAAAGAUUCCUGGUGCCACCAAACCCAAAACUGCCUGUGGUGGAUCCUGGAGCUCAUCCCAAAAGAUUUCUGGAGUCUCCAAACCCAAAACUGGUUGUGAGGGAUCCUGGACCUUAUCCCAAAUUAUUUAUGGAGUCUCCAAACCCAAAACUACCUGUGGUGAAUCCUGGAGCUCAUCCCAAAUUAUUUAUGGAGUCUCCAAAUCCAGAGAUUGCGGAUCCUUAACCUUGUCCCUAAAGAUUCCUGGUGCCACCAAACCCAAAACCUCCUGUGGUGGAUCCUGGAGCUCAUCCCAAAUUAUUUAUGGAGUCUCCAAUCCCAAAUCCAUCUCUGGUGGGUUCUUGAUUCUGUUCCCAAAGAUUGAUGGUGCCACCAAUCCCAAAUCCAUCUGUGGUGGAUCCUGGAGCUCAUCCCAAAACAUUCAUGGAGUCUCCAAUCCCAAAACUGGUUGUGAGGGAUCCCAGAGCUCAUCCCAAAACAUUUCUGGAGUCUCCAGACCCUGGAGAAAUGAAGGAUCCAGGGAGAGCUUCCAGAACAUUCCAGGGCCUGAAGGAGCUCCAGGAGAAGCUGGAAUUUGGGAAAGGCCUGGAGGGGCAGGACACAGGGAAUGGCUUCCCACUGGGAAAGGGGAGGUUUGGGUGGGAUCUUGGGAACUGGGAAUUCCUGGAAUUCCCAGAGCAGCUGUGGCUGCCCCUGGAUCUCUGGAAUGUCCCGGGAAAGGUCGGAGCAAUCUGGGAGAGCAGGAGAUGUCCAGGGGUUGGAAGUGGAUGGGCUUGGAGGUUCUUCCAACCCAAACCGCUCCAGGAUUUGGGAAUUGUGGGAUCCUGGCCCGUGGAAUGCCCCCCCCGGCUGGGCAGGGAAAUUUGGGAAUUUUUCCA
rnacentral:lncRNA from 1 species